rnacentral:rRNA from 1 species
UACGUAGGUGGCAAGCGUUGUCCGGAUUUACUGGGUGUAAAGGGCGUGUAGCCGGGCUGACAAGUCAGAUGUGAAAUCCGGGGGCUCAACCCCCGAACUGCAUUUGAAACUGUUGGUCUUGAGUAUCGGAGAGGCAGGCGGAAUUCCUAGUGUAGCGGUGAAACGCGUAGAUAUUAGGAGGAACACCAGUGGCGAAGGCGGCCUGCUGGACGACAACUGACGGUGAGGCGCGAAAGCGUGGGGAGCAAACAGG